rnacentral:rRNA from 1 species
GACGAACGCUGGCGGCGUGCUUAACACAUGCAAGUCGAACGGAAAGGCCCUGCUUUUGUGCGGUGCUCGAGUGGCGAACGGGUGAGUAACACGUGAGUAACCUGCCCUUGACUUUGGGAUAACUUCAGGAAGCUGGGGCUAAUACCGGAUAGGAUCUCCUGCUGCAUGGUGGGCGUUGGAAAGUUUCGGCGGUUGGGGAUGGACUCGCGGCUUAUCAGCUUGUUGGUGGGGUAGUGGCUUACCAAGGCUUUGACGGGUAGCCGGCCUGAGAGGGUGACCGGCCACAUUGGGACUGAGAUAGGGACCAGACUCCGACGGGAGGCAGCAGUGGGGAAUAUUGCACAAUGGGCGGAAGCCUGAUGCAGAAACGCCGCGUGCGGGAUGACGGCCUUCGGGUUGUAAACCGCAUUCGCCUGUGACGAAGCGGGAGUGACGGUAAUGGGUAAAGAAGCACCGGCUAACUACGUG